CUCGAAAUCCUCCUGCCGGGGGAUUCAGUCACGACGUUUCGAGGUGCUCGUCGGAUUGUUAUCGGACCUCGUAUAAAGGCCGAUCCGACGGCACGUGUCUCGAUUCGACGUGACGCAUUUCCCCCGGCACUACGGACGCCGCAGCCGGUCGGGUAGCUGCGCGUGUCGGCCUUGAGGACGGACGCCGGAAGGUGGCCGGCGGGACUCUCUGUAAAAAGGGAGGCCUGCCGGUUGUUAGCCUGUCCGUCCGUGGCGCGACACCCGACCGAGGAGUUCUUCGGUUCCUCUCUCCGGAGGGGACCGAUAUAGAGAGAGAGCCUUCCCUCCCUUCUCGUAAGGCUGAGCGAGUCGGCCGACAGGUGUCAGUGCGCGUGGGUCGUCGCAGUCUCCGCACUGGGCGAUCCGCACUGCGCCGCUGUUGGUUCGGACCGGCUUCGCGGGGGACUAGAGAAGGCUGGCGGCGAGUAGGUCGGUCACCCACCCGACCCGUCUUGAAACACGGACCAAGGAGUCUAACAUGUGCGCGAGUCAUGGGGUCUUGUUCAGGCCCAAAGGCGCAAUGAAAGUGAAAGCCGGCCUUGGCCGGCCCCAGUUUGGGAUCCUCUCCUCUUGGAAAUGUCGGAGGGAGGCGCACCAACGACCCGCCCUGUGCUAUUAUUUCGUAGCGUGGGACGGAGUAUGAGCGCACACGUUGGGACCCGAAAGAUGGUGAACUAUGCUUGAGCAGGACGAAGCCAGAGGAAACUCUGGUGGAGGUCCGCAGCGGUU
rnacentral:rRNA from 1 species